GAUGAACGCUGGCGGCGUGCUUAACACAUGCAAGUCGAACGGUGAAGCAGAGCUUGCUCUGUGGAUCAGUGGCGAACGGGUGAGUAACACGUGAGCAACCUGCCCCUGACUCUGGGAUAAGCGCUGGAAACGGCGUCUAAUACUGGAUAUGAGCUGCGACCGCAUGGUCAGCAGUUGGAAAGAUUUUUCGGUCUGGGAUGGGCUCACGGCCUAUCAGCUUGUUGGUGAGGUAAUGGCUCACCAAGGCGUCGACGGGUAGCCGGCCUGAGGGGGUGACCGGCCACACUGGGACUGAGACACGGCCCAGACUCCUACGGGAGGCAGCAGUGGGGAAUAUUGCACAAUGGGCGAAAGCCUGAUGCAGCAACGCCGCGUGAGGGAUGACGGCCCUCGGGUUGUAAACCUCUUUUAGCAGGGAAGAAGCGAAAGUGACGUUACCUGCAGAAAAAGCGCCGGCUAACUACGUG
rnacentral:rRNA from 1 species